GUGGAUUAGAUACCCUAGUAGUCCACACCGUAAACGUUGGGCGCUAGGUGUGGGAUCCAUUCCACGGGUUCCGUGCCGCAGCUAACGCAUUAAGCGCCCCGCCUGGGGAGUACGGCCGCAAGGCUAAAACUCAAAGGAAUUGACGGGGGCCCGCACAAGCGGCGGAGCAUGCGGAUUAAUUCGAUGCAACGCGAAGAACCUUACCUGGGUUUGACAUACGCCGGAAAGCCACAGAGAUGUGGCCCCUUUUAGUCGGUGUACAGGUGGUGCAUGGCUGUCGACAACU
rnacentral:rRNA from 1 species